CGUAGGGAGCAAGCGUUGUUCGGAUUUACUGGGCGUAAAGGGCGCGUAGGCGGCAUAUUAAGUCAGCUGUGAAAUCUCCGAGCUUAACUCGGAACUGUCAGCUGAUACUGAUGUGCUCGAGUGCGGAAGGGGCAAUCGGAAUUCUUGGUGUAGCGGUGAAAUGCGUAGAUAUCAAGAGGAACACCUGAGGUGAAGACGGGUUGCUGGGCCGACACUGACGCUGACAGCGCGAAAGCCAGGGGAGCAAACGGGAUUAGAUACCCCGGUAGUCCUGGCCUUAAACGAUGAAUACUUGGUGUCUGGAGUCUCAAUAGCUCCGGGUGCCGUCGCUAACGUUUUUAGUAUUCCGCCUGGGGAGUACGCACGCAAGUGUG
rnacentral:rRNA from 1 species